ensembl:snRNA U6 U6 spliceosomal RNA
GUGUUUGCUGUGACAGUGCAUAUACUAAAAUUGGAAUGAUAUAGAGAUUAGCAUAACUCCUGCAUAAGGAUGAUAUGCAAAUUUAUGAAGUUUCUUAAGUGUAA